AACGAACGCUGGCGGCAGGCUUAACACAUGCAAGUCGAACGCCCCGCAAGGGGAGUGGCAGACGGGUGAGUAACGCGUGGGAAUCUACCGUGCCCUACGGAACAACAGUUGGAAACGACUGCUAAUACCGUAUACGCCCUACGGGGGAAAGAUUUAUCGGGGUAUGAUGAGCCCGCGUUGGAUUAGCUAGUUGGUGGGGUAAAGGCCUACCAAGGCGACGAUCCAUAGCUGGUCUGAGAGGAUGAUCAGCCACAUUGGGACUGGGACACGGCCCAAACUGCUACGGGGGGCAGCGGUGGGGAAUAUUGGACAAUGGGCGCAAGCUUGAUCCAGCCAUGCCGCGUGAGUGAUGAAGGUCUUAGGAUUGUAAAGCUCUUUCACCGACGAAGAUAAUGACGGUAGUCGAAGAAGAAGCUCCGGCUAACUUCGUGCCAGCAGCCGCCGUAA
rnacentral:rRNA from 1 species